rnacentral:tRNA from 1 species
GCCCCACGCAGCGGGCUUCACGGCCGCGGGCAUGCUCAGCCCGUUGGCCGAGCUCGACGGUGCCGAGCCCGCCGUGGCGCGCC